rnacentral:rRNA from 1 species
CGAACGCUGGCGGCGUGCUUACCACAUGCAAGUCGAACGGAAAGGCCCUGCUUUUGUGGGGUGCUCGAGUGGCGAACGGGUGAGUAACACGUGAGUAACCUGCCCUUGACUUUGGGAUAACUUCAGGAAACUGGGGCUAAUACCGGAUAGGAGCUCCUGCUGCAUGGUGGGGGUUGGAAAGUUUCGGCGGUUGGGGAUGGACUCGCGGCUUAUCAGCUUGUUGGUGGGGUAGUGGCUUACCAAGGCUUUGACGGGUAGCCGGCCUGAGAGGGUGACCGGCCACAUUGGGACUGAGAUACGGCCCAGACUCCUACGGGAGGCAGCAGUGGGGAAUAUUGCACAAUGGGCGGAAGCCUGAUGCAGCAACGCCGCGUGCGGGAUGGCGGCCUUCGGGUUGUAAACCGCUUUCGCCUGUGACGAAGCGUGAGUGACGGUAAUGGGUAAAGAAGCACCGGCUAACUACGUG